CAGAUAAGAAAUGAGAACUGUUCAUUAGAUGUAGCAAUAGGGAGGUGGUUUUUGACCCAGUGAGAGCAGUUUCUGAGGAAAGGUAUGGGCAGAAGCAGAUUACUGUCAGUUGAGAGGAAAGGGAGGUGAGGAAGCCACAGAGAAUGUGGACAGUUAUUUCAAGAACUUGGGCUCUGAGGGGGAGGAGUGGGAUAGGAGAAAUGUAUAGGGCAAGCAGGAAAAAAUGAAGAGUUGGGAGGACUUUUUAAGAAGAAAGAGACUUGAGGAUGUUUAAAAAUGGGAAGGAUUCAGUGAACAUGUUGAGGCUGAAAUGUAGAAGAGGACGGAUACAUGUUGGAAGGAAGUACCCGAGAAGGCCCAAGGUAGAAAUUCUUCUGGACUGGAAUCUUCCUCAAGGCUUACUUUGUUCCUGGGACCAGUGGUGCAUUGACUCACUCGGACCUGGCUUGCCUGGCAUGCAUUGCAACAAUAACGUGCAAGGAAGUAAAGAGAUGAGUGAAUUCAUAAGCAUACUGUAAUUUGAGAUGUCUUAUGCAAGGUAUUCUAGAAAUGCCAAGUAUCUUGUUUACAACAAACCAAAACUGAAAUGUUGGUUGUCAUGUUCACUACCACAUAGAAAAUACACAGUGAAAGACUUCCACAUUUUUAGUAAAAUAAGCAAAGGGGCAAAGGUGAUUUAUCUUGAUGAAGUUCUGUAAGGCA
rnacentral:lncRNA from 1 species